CAUCAGCCUCUAACAAGCAGCCCUUUAAGAGUGAAGCCUGGCCGCCAAACUGGUCCCCGGUACACUUCCUUCGUCUAGUGGCAAGUGGCCUUAAUCACAACUGCAGCCCAGAACUCAUUCAAAGCCCCAGAGUCAGGCCUGCAUCCUGAAGCAAUGACAUUGUAAACCAAAAAUAAAAUUCUAAGGGCCCCCCAACCAUCUGAAUGGACUCCAUCCUUUCAGUGAGGACAUCCCAAAGACUGGGGUUCAGGCCAUGAUGGGCAGCGGGGGUCGGAAAUGCCUCAUGAUGCCCUCCUCUCUUUC
rnacentral:lncRNA from 10 species